rnacentral:lncRNA from 1 species
GGAGAUAUUCCAUUUGCUUUCACUCCUUUCCUCCCAUUCCUGCCCAAAACUGAGUUCUCCCUAAUUGUUACUCAACUCUUAUCAAUCCUUACAUUUUAAAGGACACGUCAAAUUAGGAUGAAUUCAAUUUCAUUUAAAAUUUGGUGAGAUGGUUUUGUUGAUACAUGGAUUCACUUGAAUUAAUUGACAAAUUGGUCGAAUUAUUUUGGUUUGUCAUGGAUAAAUUCUGAGUUAAUCACUUUUGUAAAAAUAAUGUAUGAAAUGUUCAUACUUGUACUAGACAUUUCGUUUCCUUGUUAUAUUAUUCUCAAUAGUCUUACAUGGAUGUAGGUAGAAAAUAUACAGAAUGAUUGAUCUACAUGUAGCUCUUUAGUUUUUAGGUUCAAUGUAUUACUACCAUCUAUAUUAGACUAUUUACAAAACCAAUGAUACACACCACAAUUUUA